UUGUAGGUCCUCGAAAGAGGAUCUAUGUUUUUAUCAUCACACCCAUCGCAUGUCUAUAGAAUGUAUCAUGAUCGUCGAACGACUUCACGGUCGGGCGGCGGUCGAACAAAUAAAUACAACUUUCAGCAACGGAUCUCUUGGCUCUCGCAUCGAUGAAGAACGCAGCGAAUUGCGAUAAGUAAUGUGAAUUGCAGAUUUUCAGUGAAUCAUCGAAUCUUUGAACGCACCUUGCGCUCCUUGGUAUUCCGAGGAGCAUGCCUGUUUGAGUGUCAUGGAAUUCUCAACCAUGUCUUGAUCGAUUUCGAGGCAUGGCUUGGAUGGUGGGGGUUGCUGGCGGCGACAGCUGUCGGCUCUCCUGAAAUGCAUUAGCGAUGGACAGCAAGUCUGACAUGCACGGCCUCGACGUCAUAAUGAUCGUCGUGGCUGGAGUGUCGGACGAGCGCUAACACCGUCCGUUCGCUUCCAAUCCUUGACUUGGGACUUGGACUUUCGAGCGAAGCUUUWAGCUACUAGUUGGUCGUGAGGCCGACGAACGCGCGGGCUAGCUCGGAGGUCGGGAAGGGUUCCUCGUCUUCUUUGACGACUGACCUCAAAUCAGGUAGGACUACCC
rnacentral:rRNA from 1 species